GAUGAAGAACGUAGCAAAAUGCGAUACUUGGUGUGAAUUGCAGAAUCCCGUGAACCAUCGAGUUUUUGAACGCAAGUUGCGCCCGAAGCCUUUUGGCCGAGGGCACGUCUGCCUGGGCGUCACGCAUCGCGUCGCCCCCCACAAUUCUCCGUAAAGGGAACAUGUGUUUUGGGGGCGGAUAUUGGUCUCCCGUGCUCAUGGCGUGGUUGGCCGAAAUAGGAGUCCUUUCGAUGGACGCACGAACUAGUGGUGGUCGUAAAAACCCUCGUCUUUUGUUUCGUGCUGUUGCUCGCAAGGUAAACUCUUUAAAAACCCCAAUGUGUCGUCUCUUGACGACGCUUCGACCGCGACCCCAGGUCAGGCGGGACUACCCGCUAAGUUUAAGCAUAUCAAUAAGCGGAGGA
rnacentral:misc_RNA from 1 species